rnacentral:rRNA from 1 species
AGUCGAACGAGAAUCUGUGGAAAGAGGAUUCGUCCAAUUAAAGCAGAGGACAGUGGCGGACGGGUGAGUAACGCGUGAGGAACCUGCCUUUCAGAGGGGGACAACAGUUGGAAACGACUGCUAAUACCGCAUGACACAUUGAGGUCGCAUGGCCUUGAUGUCAAAGAUUUAUCGCUGAAAGAUGGCCUCGCGUCUGAUUAGCUAGUUGGUGAGGUAACGGCCCACCAAGGCGACGAUCAGUAGCCGGACUGAGAGAUUGAACGGCCACAUUGGGACUGAGAUACGGCCCAGACUCCUACGGGAGGCAGCAGUGGGGAAUAUUGGGCAAUGGGCGCAAGCCUGACCCAGCAACGCCGCGUGAAGGAAGAAGGCUUUCGGGUUGUAAACUUCUUUUGUCAGGGACGAGUAGAAGACGGUACCUGACGAAUAAGCCACGGCUAACUACGUGCCAGCAGCCGCGGUAAUACGUAGGUGGCAAGCGUUGUCCGGAUUUACUGGGUGUAAAGGGCGUGUAGCCGGGAGGGCAAGUCAGAUGUGAAAUCCACGGGCUUAACUCGUGAACUGCAUUUGAAACUGUUCUUCUUGAGUAUCGGAGAGGCAAUCGGAAUUCCUAGUGUAGCGGUGAAAUGCGUAGAUAUUAGGAGGAACACCAGUGGCGAAGGCGGAUUGCUGGACGACAACUGACGGUGAGGCGCGAAAGCGUGGGG